GGAGCUUUUGGAGGGCCAGAGUGCUUUCUGGCCCUCCAAAAGUACUUUUAGAUGAAAAACUGUAUUUGGUAAAUUUUUCAAAAAGCUGUUUCAGCUUUUGCGGGAAGCUGAAAAUAGCUUUUGGGAGGAAGCUCCAAUUUGGAGCUUUUGGGAGGAAGCUAUUUCAGCUUUUUCGGAAAGCUGUAUUUUUGACAAAAAUGCCCAUAUUAAAAUAUAAUAAUUACAUAGCUUGUCCCUUUAUAAACCUAAAAAUUUGCUGGAGCCAAGAACCCUAGCCGUCAGACUCCCUUCCGUAAGAAAAGGUAUUUUUCUUUUCAAUUUUUGUAUGCAUCUCUUGAACAACAUUUUAGAAGAAAAAAUUUUUAAUCCUUCUCCGUACCUUCCAAAAUCAAUCUAUUAUUUUUUUUUUAAUCAUCAACCUCGCGGCCCACGUUGAGGUCCUCCUCGAGCGUGGACCACGAAGAAGAGCCCCUGGACCGCGAGAAAUAUUAAUAUGUUAUUUUAAAUAAUUUAAUAUUAUGUUAUAUUAUAAAAAAAUAAUUUAUACUAAUAAUUAUAAUAUUUUAUAUCUUUAUUAUUGUAUUAUACUAUAAAUAUUAUAUUAUAUUACAUUACAUUAUAAUACAUUAAUAUGUUAUUUUNNNNNNNNNNNNNNNNNNNNCUAUUAUUUUUUUUUAAUCAUCAACCUCGCGGCCCACGUUGAGGUCCUCCUCGAGCGUGGACCACGAAGAAGAGCCCCUGGACCGCGAG
rnacentral:lncRNA from 1 species